UGAGGGAAUAUUGGGUCAAUGGGGCGAGAGCCUGAACCAGCCAAGUAGCGUGCAGGACGACGGCCCUAUGGGUUGUAAACUGCUUUUAUACGGGAAUAAAGUGAUGCCUGCGGGCGUUAUUGCAUGUACCGUACGAAUAAGGACCGGCUAAUUCCGUGCCAGCAGCCGCGGUAAUACGGAAGGUCCGGGCGUUAUCCGGAUUUAUUGGGUUUAAAGGGAGCGUAGGCUGUCCUUUAAGCGUGUUGUGAAAUGUAGGCGCUCAACGCCUGCACUGCGGCGCGAACUGAAGGACUUGAGUGUGUACGACGCUGG
rnacentral:rRNA from 1 species